UCUAUUUUGGCAGAUAAGUGCAAUGAAUUUAGGAUUCAUAUAUAUUAAUAUUUAAUAAAUAGAA
rnacentral:tRNA from 1 species